rnacentral:rRNA from 1 species
AGGACGAACGCUGGCGGCGUGCUUAACACAUGCAAGUCGAGCGGAAAGGCCCUUCGGGGUACUCGAGCGGCGAACGGGUGAGUAACACGUGAGCAACCUGCCCUUAGCUCUGGGAUAGCUCCGGGAAACCGGAAUUAAUACCGGAUACGACCUAGGCCGACACCGGCCAUGGUGGAAAGUUUUUCGGCUAGGGAUGGACUCGCGGCCUAUCAGCUAGUUGGUGGGGUAAAGGCCUACCAAGGCGACGACGGGUA